GUUGUACUGUUGAUGUCCUGUUGACAGUUUUAUCCCCAAGUUGUGUCCUGUUGAUGGGUUGUCGUGGUUCAUUUGCCAGUUUGGUUUGUUUAUCCCUUUUUGGAUUCCUAUUCCUGUUGAUGGCCUACUUGUGAUGUGGACCUCCCACAGGUUUCAUGGAGUAGCCCUCCCAAAGAUAAAAGUACCCUCUCCUGUGUAAAGUGACGCUAAAGCACCCCCCUCUACCAUGGAUGGCCUACUUGUGAUGUGGACCUCCCCCACCGCACUGUUACAAAGAGACCCUGCAGGUUUCAUGGAGUAGUCCUCCCAAAUAUAAAAGUACCCUCUCCAGUGUAAAGUGACGCUAAAGCACCCCGCUCUACCUUGGACGGCCUACUUGUGAUGUGGACCUCCCCCACCGCCAUGUUACAGAGACCUUUUAGGUUUCACGGACUAGCCCUCCCAAAGAUAAAAGUACCCUCUCCGGUGUAAAGUGAUGCUAAAGUACCCCCCUCUACCAUGGACGGCCUACCUCAAGACCUUCAAUAUCCCCGCAUCCCUUUAAUGCCCUAUUGUAAAUUACAUUUACUAUAUUUUAAAGAAAAAACAGAAAACUUCUAAAUUUCAAAUUUUAUUGAAGAAAAUUAAACAGUUGUAUUUUGUAUUG